GUGAAACUGCUGACGAGCGGCGGACGGCUGAGUAACGCGUGGGAACGGACCCAAACUGAGGGAGUAACUAGUCGAAGAUUAGCUAAUACCGCAUGUGAUCUUCGGAUUAAAGGAUUUAUCCGGUUUGGGACUGGCCUGCGUAGGAUUAGAUAGUUGGUAGGGUAAUGGCCUACCAAGUCGACGAUCCUUAGAUGGUUUGAGAGGAUGAUCAUCCAGACUGGGACUGAGACACGGCCCAGACUCCUACGGGAGGCAGCAGUAGGGAAUCUUUCACAAUGGGCGAAAGCCUGAUGGAGCCAACGCCGCGUGCAGGAUGACGGCCUUCGGGUUGUAAACUGCUUUUAUAUCCGAGAAAUAUGAUGGUAAGAUAUGAAUAAGGAUCGGCUAACUACGUGCCAGCCGCGGC
rnacentral:rRNA from 1 species